rnacentral:rRNA from 1 species
GACGAACGCUUUCCUCGUGCCUAAUACAUGCAAGUUGAGCGCUGAAGGUUGGUACUUGUACCAACUGGAUGAGCAGCGCACGGGUGAGUAACGCGUGGGGAAUCUGCCUUUGAGCGGGGGACAACAUUUGGAAACGAAUGCUAAUACCGCAUAAAAACUUUAAACACAAGUUUUAAGUUUGAAAGAUGCAAUUGCCUCACUCAAAGAUGAUCCCGCGUUGUAUUAGCUAGUUGGUGAGGUAAAGGCUCACCAAGGCGAUGAUACAUAGCCGACCUGAGAGGGUGAUCGGCCACAUUGGGACUGAGACACGGCCCAAACUCCUACGGGAGGCAGCAGUAGGGAAUCUUCGGCAAUGGACGAAAGUCUGACCGAGCAACGCCGCGUGAGUGAAGAAGGUUUUCGGAUCGUAAAACUCUGUUGGUAGAGAAGAACGUUGGUGAGAGUGGAAAGCUCAUCAAGUGACGGUAACUACCCAGAAAGGGACGGCUAACUACGUG